rnacentral:rRNA from 1 species
UACGUAGGUGGCAAGCGUUGUCCGGAUUUACUGGGCGUAAAGAGCGCGCAGGCGGUCGUUCAAGUCGCGUGUGAAAGCCCCCGGCUCAACUGGGGAGGGUCACGCGAUACUGAUCGACUCGAAGGCAGGAGAGGGUAGUGGGAAUUCCCCGGUGUAGUGGUGAAAUGCGUAGAUAUCGGGGAGGAACACCAGUGGCGAAGGCGGCAUCCUGGACCAUUACUGACGCUGAAUCGCGAAAGCUAAGGGGAGCAAACUGGGG